GUGGCUGCGUGGGGGAAUAGGGGCUGGACUGGGUCUUGGUCUGUCUACGUACACAGCAGACGACCACGGGGAGGCUGGAACCACACAGUCACGUCUCCUGCUGAGGGGUGUAGCCGGAAAAAAAGAGAAAGAAAGAGAGAGAAUAGAAAGACAGAGAGCCACGCACGGCUCAGCUGAGGCAAGCAAACGAUUGGAGUAGAAAUCGUGAGAGACAACCGCUGGAAGCGAACAGUGGAAGGGAGGAAGGAAAGAGAAAACAGACAGGACCCAAAUCUGCCAGCGACCACCACCUCCUCUCCAUCUCGAUGGUUAGCUGCGCACCCACAUAGACCAAUGACACCCCCCGCCCUCUUCUAAAAAGACAACUAGGGGGGAUGACCGCCUACCGAGAAGGCAGUUGACUAGCGUCGUAACUAAGCGAUGCACCUUCUUUCCAAGAGCGCAAGCUUGAAGCUAUAUUUUAUCCUAACAUAGGCUAUUUGACGAAUGUCAGUGUUGACAUUAUUUCCUAAUAGUGUUGUGGUUAUUGACAACGAGCCUCGGUUUGUUUUCGAGACUCUGUAAAGCAAAGUUUUUUUUUCUGCUGGACUUGUUUUUUUUCACUGCGUCCUGGAUUUCCAUACUUGCAGAAAAACAGAUGAUUAUUUUUGCGACAAGCUAGGCCUAUUUGUAAAGAAAUAUAGCAGUAGAACGAACGGACUCCUUUGGGGUGGGUUUUUAUGUCUUUAUUUUCCGUACAGUCUGUUAUAUAUACAUUAUAUUCUAUCGACAAAGGUUCGACAAGCGCCUACUAAACUUGUCUCUUGAAUAGACACCCUUCUGUAGCCUAUUUAACCGUUUGAAACGGAUGUGUGCACACCAAGAAGAUACUGAGAAGUGACAGUAGAGGAGACAUCCAACGAGGACAGCCGACAAGGAUACUUUCUAUACGUUGGCGUCCAGUGGAGACAAGGCUUUUAUAAAAGGUCUGGAUGGGCCGGGGAAUCACGCACACACAGCCUACUGCAGACACACACAUGCUGUAGAUAUACUGUAUACACACAUAUGUAUGCAUGGAUUCUAGAC
ensembl:lncRNA